rnacentral:rRNA from 1 species
CCUACGGGUGGCAGCAGUGGGGAAUAUUGGACAAUGGGGGAAACCCUGAUCCAGCGACGCCGCGUGAGUGAAGAAGGAAUUGGGUACGUAAAACUCUAUCAGCAGGAGAGAAAAUGACGGUACCUGACUAAGAAGCCGCGGGUAACUACGUGCCAGCAGCAGCGGUAAUGCGUAGGGGGCAGGCGUUAUCCGGAUUUACUGGGUGUAAAGGGGGCGUAGACGGCAGCGCAAGUCUGGAGUGAAAUGCCGGGGCCCAACCCCGGAACUGCGCUGGAAACUGGGAAGCUGGAGUGCAGGAGAGGUAAGCGGAAUGCGUGGUGUAGCGGUGAAAUGCGUAGAUAUCAGGAGGAACACCGGCGGCGAAGGCGGCUUACUGGACUGUAACUGACGUUGAGGCUCGAAGGCGUGGGGAGCAAACAGGAUUAGAUACCCUGGUAGUC